AUCAGAUCCCUCACGUUUAAGGGCUCAGCUCCACAAGACUACCCCCUUCACAUGCCAGCAGCAAAUAUGGGGCCCAAGUUACCCACAUUUCUGCCCAGCUGACUACAAAUUCUGGUUUCCAUGACCCCCUCUCAGGUUUGAUAGUUUGCUAGAACAACUCACAAAGUGAAGGAAAAUGGUGUACUUACUAUUACUGGCUUAUUAUAAAGGCUACAACUCAGAAACAGCCAAACGGAGGAGAUGCACAGAGCAAGGUGACCAGUCCGCAUCCUGAUACUAUCUCGGAGUCCCCCAGCCAAGAAUCAUCUCAUCAGCAUAAACUCAGGCAAUGUUGAAAGGCAUUCAGAAUGGUACUGGCCAUGUAACAUCCUCAGGAAAAUGGAGAAAGGAGUCACAUCAUCUUCUGUGUUUGGAGACUGCUAUGUAAGCCAGAAUACUAGUCACACAGUGCAGGUGGGAGCGGCCGGGAAGUAACCUCCUUUUUUUUUAAGACUAAUACAUUUAUGGUAUACACCUGAAUUUGUGUUGCGGAAAUCUGAUACCCAUUGCACACAUUCUGUAUCAUGUUUAAAAUAAUUUCAACUUUUAUUUUAGAUUCAAGGGGUACACUUGCAGUUUUGUUACACGGGUUUAUUGCGUGAUGCUGAGGUUUGGGGUACAAUUGAUCGCAUCACCUUCCAGGUGUCAGCAUGUAAAAGGGAAGAUCCAAAUGACCAAUCAGGAGAUUACUGGGGGACCACAAAGUUGGGGCUCAGGUCAGCUGACCAGGUGAGACCCUGUCUCCACCAUGGGCAACAGCUCCCCUUUCCUCAGGCCCCCUGACCUUUCAGACACAACAGAUGCUGCAGUCUUCACAGGGACCUGGGGAGCCCCAGCAACUCAAUCACAUUGCUCGGUGACCCCAAAAGGCUGAUCACAUUAGCAACAGGCUUAUUUUUCGUCAUUUCAUUAUCAAAGGGCAAGUUUUGACUUUACAUUUUAAUUCCUCCCCACCACAUGCUUACAAUUACUAAAUUUCUAUGAUUCUGAAUCUAAGUUCUUUAGAAGAGAAAAUCUGCUCUCUUCUACAUUCAAAGGAUUAGUCCAAAAAAAGCACUAUAUUUGUGUGUUGUAUCUACAUAUAUAAGAAGCUGUGUAUAUAGCACAUCAUUUAUGGAUAAAAUAUCUAUAUAUUUAUUGUAUACAACUAUUUUAUUAGAUUGUGAUCCUGAUCAUUGGGCUCAUUGUUUCACAUAUAGCAGCUCACUUAAUUCUCAUAACAACUCCAUGAGGCAUAUACACUUACUAAUCCCAUUAUUUUUUCAGAUGAAGUACAGGUUCACAAAGGUUAAAUAACUUGCCCAGGCCGAGCAUGGUGGCUCAUGCCUGUAAUCCCAGCACUUUGGGAGGCUGAGGUGGGCGGAUCACCUGAGGUCGGCAGAUCACCUGAGGUCAGGAGUUCGAGACCAGCUUGGCCAACAUGGUGAAACCCUAUCUCUACUAAAAGAAAAAUAAAAAAGGAAAAUACAUUUAAAAAAAAAUUAGCCAGGCAUGGUGGUGGAUACCUGUAAUCCCAGCUACUUGAGAGGCUGAGUCAGGAGAAUUGCUUGAACCCGGGAGGUGGAGGUUGCAGUAAGCUGAGAUUGCACCACUGCACUCCAGCCUGGGCGACAGAGCAAGACUCCAUCUCAAAAAAACAAAAACCAAAAAAUAACUUAUCCAAGGACACACUGCUAGUUGGUGGCAGAGGCAAAACUCAAGGCCAGCUCCAUGUGACUGUAGGUUCUAAAUAGGGUAAACAUCUCUCCCAGCUGGCCCAGAAGCCUGGCACCCCAGUGUGAUAACUGCAGCACUCUUUUCACUCUCAAAAGCAUCCCAGUUUGGAUAAGCUAUAUGGCUGCCCUAGCUCUAAGCUACCAUGUGUUAAGCUGCCUCUCUCCAUGUAGAAGAGAGUUAAUAUUUGACUUACUGGCAACAGGUAAGAAAUAACGGAGUCAAAGAAAGAUUCAGAAAAGUCUUUUCAACACUCAUAUCCAGUCAAGUUCUGAAACCUCCAUAUUUCCCAUCUUAAAUGAUCUCUUGAGACCAUCUCCAUCUUACCACCAGCACCUUAGACCCAGCUAACAUCCCCUCUGCCCUAGACUCCCCACUUCAAUGGGCUCCUUACAAGUCUCCUUGCUUCCAUUCUCCUCCCCUACCAAGUGGUCCUCACACAGCAGCCUGAGAUAUAUUUUUUAAAUGCAAACCUAAAAAUGUCCCUUUCUUGCUUAAAACCCUCCAACAUCCUAACAUUAUUCAUAGGUCACCCGACUCUUUGCCAUUGGUCAGGAUGAGAGGAAUUGGUGGCCCACUGCCCCUUACUUCCUUUCCUCCUCCUGUCUGGCACGUCCUCCAGGUUUCGAUGCUCAGUGCAAUUCUCACUCCCUCGGAAGAAGGAAGGAAGGGCAGGGUCCUCGCCUUCAGCUGGGGCUGCUAAUCUUGAAGCAAAUGGAGGGAAGCUCUGUGAGAAUAAAGUCAAUGUAGAGAAGAGCAGGGUUUGGGGUAGAGGUGAGAAGUGGGAGGCAGCCAACCUUCCACAACUUUUUAGUUAAAUAAACAAAUUUCUGUUUUGUGAUUUUGGCCUUGACAAUGAAAAUAACCUGACUAAUCGGAAGUAGUUGAGUUCUACCUUCUCCACUCUAAAUGCUUAUUUGUAGAAUGUUGUUGGCUUUUUUUUCACGCUUAAUUAGUUUAAAGCCAGGUUAGAUGGCUGCCUAGAAGAUAAGCUCCUACAGAGCAGGAUUAUGUGGUGAGUUUAUCUUGAAGAGUGCCCUGUACAAGUAGACAUUUAAUAAUCUUGGUUCCAUAUUUCUCAAAAUAAUCCAAGUGAGAAGAGAAAAAGAACUAGCAUAGUAGCGUCCGCAAUGGGGCAUUUUCCAGGUGUGGUGGCUCACGCCUGGAAUCCCAGCACUUUGGGACCCAGCUGAGGUAGGUGGGUCAUUUGAGGUCAGGAGUUCGAGACCAGCCUGGCCAACAUGGUGAAACACUGUCUCUACUAAAAUACAGAAAUUAGCUGGGCGUGGUGGCACAUGCCUGUAAUCUCAGCUACUUGGGAGGCUGAGGCAGGAGAAUCACUUGAACCCAGGAGGCGGAGGUUGCAGUGAACUGAGAUUGCACCACUGCACUCCAGCCUGGGUGACAGAGCAAGACUCCCUCUCAAAAAAUAAAUAAGUAAAUAAAUAAAUAAAUAAAUAAAUAAAUAAAAAUAAAAAUAAAUUAAAUGGGGGCAUUUAAAAAUGGAGUGUUGAUACAUGAACUUCCCUCUCUAGCCCUCGACUGCAUACUUAUCCUACAGAUAUGUAAGAAGAGAAUAUUAAGGCUAAAGCCUCCAAUGUUUUGUUUGAUGUCGCAGUACUGGUUUUGGCUGAGGUAACCUCCUCUCAGUAAAGAACCUGCACAUCAAGGGAGGUAAGAGGUUAAAGCGCCACCCAACCUGCUGCCAUUGGCCAGGAUGGACAAAUCAGUUGGCAGCUGCACUCACCUUCCUUCCACCUUCUAUCACACCCUACUGGUUUGUAUUUCUCUGUUUUCACAUUGCUAUAAAGAAAUACCUGAGACUCGGUAAUUUUUAUAAAGAAAAGAGGUUUAAUUGGCUCACAGUUCUGCAAGCUGUACAGAAGCAUGAUGCUGGCAUCUACUCAGCUUCUGGGAAGGCCUCAGGAAGCUUACAGUCAUGGUGGAAUGUGAAGGGCAAGCAGGCAUGUCUUACAUGGCUGGAGCAGGAGCAAGGGUGGGUGGAGGUGCCACACACUUUUAAACAACCAGAUCUCAUGAGAACUCACUCACUGUCAUGAGAACAGCAACAAGGGGGAGGGCGCUAAACCAUUCAUGAGAAACCUCCCAUGAUCCAAUCACCUCCCGCCAGGCUCCACCUCCAACACUGGGAACUACAAUUCAACAUGGGAUUUGGGGGAGAACAGAAAUCCAAACAGUUCCCUCACCCAGUGGAAUUCUGACUCACAUUCAUCUUCAACCUCAUCCACUUUCCCCAGGACUCCAGCCACACUCUCCUCCUCCCUCCUUCCCACCAGCUAACCUCACUUCCUAUUAGUCACAGAGAAAACAGCAAGAUGGGAACUUACUCUGCUUCCCCUCACUGUCCAGCCUUGGACCCUGCCUGUAGCCUUGCUCUAUCUUUCUUUGACCUACACUCAAUUUAAAAGGUGCCCUUCCUCCACCUGAUCCCAGACCUUGUGCAAUUCUCCUUCCAGAAGGACUUGGAGCCACUGAUAAUCAAGGCCCCUCCUUCACACUCCCAUCUUCCACUUCUCCUUCUCUACCGGCUCCUACUCACCAGCAGCAAACUUAUUCAAGUCUCUGUCAUCAAAAGCAACAGAAAGUCAGAGACUUUGGGUAGAUCAUCUCGAAGGGAAAGAAACUGAUGUGCUUGACUAUGGGGAAAAUUCUGUCUUCAGGGCUGCUAUAGGUACGGAAGGAGUUUAGUCAUAUGUUUUGAGACAACUAAGCAUUUUUUUUUCUGUUAAGUGAUUCAGUUUUAACUCCAGUUGGGGGGGAGGUGGGGGGAUGCGGGGAGGAAAGAGGAAGGUGUUGACUCAGGACUUAAUUUUUUAAAAUUAAAGUUAGGGGAGAAAGGAAGAAUAGAAGUGACACAAGAAAGCUGAAAUCCUCACAUCCAUCACAGUCAGUGGAUAGGGUCUAAAAAUUGAAGAAUAAUAGCUGGGUGCUAUGGCAUAUACCUGUAAUCCCAGCUCCUGGGGAAGCUGAAGAGGAAGGAUCACUUGAGCCCAGGAGAUGGAGUCCUGGGCAACAUAGUGAGAUCCUGUAUCUAGAAAAAAAUAAAACGAAGAAUGAGAGAUAGUCAUAUAUGUAUAUAAUUAACCUCCAUAUUUUUAAGUAUCUGAAGAGAAAGCUGUAAGAUUUGAAAGUCAUUGCCUCUGGAGGACAGGGGAGUGUUAUAAUCCUUUUAAUCACUAUUUCACUGCUAUUUUUAGAUUUUUAACUUUUAUUCCAUCCAUGAUGUCUAUUUCAUUUUUCUAACUAUAAGCACAUUUUGCUUUGGUAAGUAAACAAACAUUUUAGAGCAAUAUAAUAAAGAGGAGAAUUGAUGGCAUCAAAAGAUCUUGGUGUGAUGAGACCAAAGCAAGCACAAAACAGAUCAAACAAGUUUAGAGUGGAAAUCAAACAACAAUUUGGCUCUAUUUGUGAUAUUUGAAUUUUACUAGAAUGUUUUAAUGUAUAAUUCACAAAAUUAAUGAAAUGUAAACGCAAUACAAAAACCAGCUGGGGGGAAAAGUCAACCUGGUAGAAUUGGCUUGUAUAAAAAAACAAAACAUUAAAUGAGCUGCUAUCCUUUUUCUUUUUUUUUAAAGUCAGGGUCUUGCUCUGUUUCCCAGGCUGGAGUACAGUGGGCUGAUCAUAGCUCACCGUAGCCUCAAAGCUCUGGGCUCAAGCAAUCCUCCUGCCUCAGCCUCCAGAGUAGCGGGGGCUAUAGACACGUGCCACUACCCCCAUCUAAAUAUCUCUUAUUAUUAUUUUUUUGUAGAGACAGAGUCUCACUAUGUUGCCCAGGCUGGUCUUCAACUCCUGGCCUCAAGUAAUUCUCCCACCUCAGCCCCCCAAAGUUCUGGGAUUACAGGUGUGAGCCACCACGUUUGGCCCAGCUGCCAUACUUAUCUAUAAUGCAGCAGGAAUGAAAAAAUGCAAUUCAUACUAGAAAACUAACAAAAAUACAUUCAUUUUAAAGAAACCUCAAAAUCCUCCAAUACCAUGGGCUGCCUUAAUGUUUUAAAAUACGUGCUUUGUUGCUAUUCUGCUCUGAGGCAGAGGAACAUUCUUAAGAAUGUUUUCCAUUUCCCUUGUAGAGAAAUGACAGCGGCCCAUCAUUGCAUGUGAUGGAGGUUUAGAGCCUGGUGAGUCCACAUAUGGAUUUUCUUGGAUGCGCACCAUGGCUAUUAGACAUUCCUCUGCCUCAGAGCAGAAUAGCAACAAAGCACACCGAUCUCCUUGAAAAAUUAAAAGAUUUCUCCAGUUGUUAAAUUCAACUCAAUUCAACUCAAAAAGAGCACAUAUUUUGAAAAGUGUUAAGGUUCUGGGAAGUGACUGUUACCUCUGUCCUGCCCUCUCUUUAGAAGCAAACAGAAAACAAUGAAAAGGAAAGCAUCCUUGAAGAAACUUACAAAUAGCCCUGAGCCUGAGGUUUUCAGAAGGGCUGCCAAGUGCGUUGAAAAUUGAACCUGGUCAGGAAGGAGGGAAUCAGAGGUCUCAAAGUGCUGCAGAACUCAAGCAACGCAUAAGCUGCCUCAAAGCAGUUAAUCACAUGGUGCUCAGCCUGUCUGAGAGCGCUACUCCGGGCCCCACUGGACACCACCUAGUGGCAGGGGAUGCUGAAGAGAUGUACAGACACUCCAUCUUUGCAAAAAGCAAUCUCUCAGCAUGGCUGGGGAAAGAAAAGGGACUGGCAUUAAGAUUUUGCUUUUUAAAACCUAUAUCUUGGCCAGGCAUGGUAGCUCACACCUAUAAUCCCAGCAGUUUGGGAGGCCGAGAUGGGUAGAUCACCUGAGGUCAGGAGUUCAAGACCAGCCUGACCAACAUGGAGAAACCCCAUCUCUACUAAAAUACAAAAAUUAACUGGGUGUGGUGGCAUGCGCCUGUAGUCCCAGCAACUCAGGAGGCUGAGACAGGAGAAUCGCUUGAACCCAGGAGGUGAAGGUAGUGACUACCUCAUAUCUAUUAACAUUGUGCCGGAUGAUAUGCUUUAAGGGUAUCAGUUAAUUUAAUCCUCAAAGCAACCCCAAGAGACAGGAGCUCUUCUCCCCAUUUUACAGAUGGGGAAACUGAGGUACAAAAAGCCUAAGUAAAUUGACCCAAGUCAUAUAAAUCAAAAGUAGGGCAGCCAAAAUUUGAACUGAGGCCAUCUCACUACUUAGCCUGAACUCUUAACCCCUAGACCAGGUCGGGGGCUGCUGAUCUUAGUCAAUCAAAAUAUUUAGAAGGCUAGAUCAUGAUAUGAGGAGCUGGGGUUUAAAGCUUUGCUGCUAGACAGUCUGAUUAGGCCUUAGGGUAGCAUGUUCAUAAGAAAGUGCUCAGAAACAAGAAACAAGAACUGGAAAUACAACAGAUUCGAUGAAUUCAACUCAGGCCCCCUCCCCAGUACUAUGUGUCAGCAAACAGCUAGCUCACAACAGCAGCCUGUUUCAAAGUUGAUUGAUGACUUAAAGAUAACUGGCAAGGGAUCUAUGCAAAAAUCCUGCAAGAAAGGAGGAAAGAAACAUGACCAAUGAAAGGCAAAUAACAUAUACCAAAAGAAUUACAUCAUUAAGCAGAUGAAAAUAAAAAGAAGGUGUUUCUGAAUGAAGACCUCAAAGAAUAGAUAAAAGCCUCAAGAAAUAAGAUAACAAAAGGAUAUAAAAGUGAGCUGGUAAAGUUCACGGAAGAAAUGGAAGAGGAAAAUAAAGCCAUUACAAAAGUGAAAAUUGUGUUAGAAAAAGUAAAAAGAGGCACUGAAAAACACAGCUAGAGGUAUAAGGCUUUUGUAUGAAGUCACAAAGGCAAAAUAUUAAGGAAAUGAAAUCAGGUAUAAAACCUUUCAAAUUAUCAGGAAAAUAAGAUACACAAAACUGGCUGGGCGCAGUGGCUCAC
rnacentral:lncRNA from 10 species